rnacentral:rRNA from 1 species
GACGAACGCUGGCGGCGUGCCUAAUACAUGCACGUAGGACGCAGUUGCGAACGGGUGAGUAACGCGUCGGUAACUGACUAUGAGAGGGGGAUAACUAUUGGAAACGAUAGCUAAUACCGCAUACUAGUAGAUGGACCUGCGUUGUAUUAGCUAGUAGGUAGGGUAAUGGCCUACCUAGGCAACGAUACAUAGCCGACCUGAGCUGGUGUUCGGCCACACCGGGACUGAGACACGGCCCAGAAUCCUACGGGAGGCAGCAGUAGGGAAUCUUCGGCAAUGGGGGGAACCCUGACCGAGCAACGCCGCGUGAGUGAAGAAGGUUUUCGGAUCGUAAAGCUCUGUUGUUAAGGAAGCGGUACUUAACCAGAAAGGGACGGCUAACUACGUGCCAGCAGCCGCGGUAAUAC